UACGUAGGGUGCAAGCGUUAUCCGGAUUUAUUGGGCGUAAAGGGCUCGUAGGCGGUUCGUCGCGUCCGGUGUGAAAGUCCAUCGCUUAACGGUGGAUCCGCGCCGGGUACGGGCGGGCUUGAGUGCGGUAGGGGAGACUGGAAUUCCCGGUGUAACGAUGGAAUGUGUAGAUAUCGGGAAGAACACCAAUGGCGAAGGCAGGUCUCUGGGCCGUUACUGACGCUGAGGAGCGAAAGCGUGGGGAGCGAACAGG
rnacentral:rRNA from 1 species